rnacentral:rRNA from 1 species
AUGCCUGCCAGGGAGGCGGAUCGGCUCAUCUCCGUGGCUGGAAAGGCUCGAUGUUACAAUUACAACAUGGGGCUUCAAGUGUCUAUUACUGUGGAACACCAAUAUCCGUGCAUUUUAGUUACGACUAAGUGCCACACCAAUGAAUGUGAAUGUCUGUUCAGUGUCCAUCUUGGUUCUGGUGAAUUGAUUUGGGGAACUCUUGAAAUCUGUUUCUUGUAUAUUGGCCAUGAUAACUCUUCACCUGACAUUCUGCAAUGGCUUCCAGCCAGGUAUGUUAGUUUGUGUAUCAUUCAUGCCAUGGGUUUUCUUGUUGCUGCUAUUCCUCGUGGAUAUUCAAGAGGCAACUUGGCACCUAAUGUCAACAGCAUGCUUAUUGGUGACGAGUGA